CUUCGGUCCUGCUGUUCGUCUCAGCGUCUCGUGUCCCUUGUUGUAUGUUGUAAAGGUCUCCAUAGUAGCGGAGGAAUGUGUCAGGAAUGGUCUGGGAGGUGGAGUGUCCGUUGGGCCGUGUCCUUGAUCUUGGGGAUGUAGAGUUGUGUUUUGCGCUGUAGGGAUUCUUAUUGUAUCAACUCUUCAAGAAAGCUACAAUUCAUAAAUUAAUGCACUAGAAAUUGG